AGCAGCCGCGGUAAUUCCAGCUCCAAUAGCGUAUAUUAAAGUUGUUGCAGUUAAAAGCUCGUAGUUGAAUUUCGGAAUCAAUUUAUUGGUCGUGCAAUAGUACGUACUGGUUUUAUUGGUUUCUCCCUUCUGAUGAACCAUGAUGUCAUUAAUUUGGUGUUAUGGGGAAUCAGGACUGUUACUUUGAAAAAUUGAGUGUUUAAAGCAGGCUCACGCUUGAAUACAUUAGCAUGGAAUAAUGAAAUAGGACGUUUGAUUCUAUUUUGUUGGUUUCUAGGAUCGACGUAAUGAUUAAUAGGGAUAGUUGGGGGCAUUAGUAUUCAAUUGUCAGAGGUGAAAUUCU
rnacentral:misc_RNA from 1 species